rnacentral:lncRNA from 1 species
AAGGUAUCGUAUCCUUAUACUGUGAUCAUAUUAACGAUAUGAGCAAAAUGUAUACAUUGGCAACUCUCGUAGAAAUACUCGAAUGAAUUUUUCACAGAAACGGUAAGUUAAUUUUUGUUAUUUCAAUCGAUAUAUUUUAUGUUUACAAUUUGUGAAUCUGUCAAUAUCAUUGCUAUUCAUGUCUGCUCUGGACUCUGCUUCUGGUCAAAGAGAUUUUGAUCACGCUUCAUAUAAAGCUUAAUAGUGAGUUUACAAUCCUGUUUAUAAUCGAACGUUCUUGCACAGAUCUUGCACUUUAAUAUACCAUUAUGUGGGUAAAUUAUAUAAGAAGCAAGUCCAUUGUUGGCAUAUUUUACAACAACACUACAACUGGCCCUAUCCACUUGCAGAGACGGAUUUUCAUAUUUUCGUUCGGGGGGGUGGAUAAAUAUCUGGGGGGGUGCUGCUGCUUGCUUUGGCCGGGGCGUGGUGGCAACGCCGGGAAAGGCCAAGGAAAAAGUUUAACAAAAUUUGUUUUCUAGGCCUGCAUGGCGAGAUCUGAGACCAUAAUAUUGGUAAUUUUACAAAUUUAGUAGUAAGAAUAAUCAAAUAUGAAACUAUCAAAUCAAAAUAUAUGUAAUUUGCGGGGGUGCCAAAUGCCUUUGGGGGGGUGCAAAUAAUUUCCGGGGGGUGCGCACCCCCCCGCACCCCCCCAGAAAAUCCGUGCCUGUCCACUUGCAGGUACAAAACUACAAUUAACACAGAAAACAGGUCUAUAGUAGUCACUAGCGUGGAAGCUCAGUCUGUUUACAUACAGUUGAAGGAUCUUCUAGAUGGAAGUAAUUGAGUGAAAAUGUAUUAUUUUAAAAAUACAUUCAUUAGGCCAUAUAAAAUAAAUUCCUUGAUUCUCAUCGCUAAAUUUUAAAAACUCCCAGGAGGCGGGAGGUUUAUAUUUUAUGUCAAAAUAUAAAAAAAAAGUUUAAAAUUUAAAAAAUUGGAGAGGGAGGUCUUUUUAUAUUUGCCCUUAAAUAUAUUAUAGAAGAACGCUAUAUAAGUGGAUAAUUGCACAUGUGCUAAUGAACAUGCAUAAGGGUCCACACAAAUCGUUGUAAUAAGGCUAUAGGCCCAUUUUUUCCUUCAGUAUUCAAAGCAUCCCUUAACAUGUUGCAAUAUUAACGAUAAAACAAUUUUAUAUCGCAAAAAUUCCGAUAUAAAAUAUAAAAAUAACUAAAUCUCUGAAGAUGCUCGGUCGGGCGGUAAAUUUAUAUUUUAUAACAAAAUACAAAAAUAUAUCAACGCGGAAACCAAAAUAUCGUCGGGCGGUGAUGAGAAUCAAGGAAUUUAUUUUAUAUGGCCUUAGACCUAUUAAACCAGGAAAUACAACUGCACAUACAGUAGGUGCAGUAUAUUUUUUGGAUAUCUAGUCCAGAUGUAAAUAUAUAACUGAUCUAAGAUCAGCAGGGACAUAGAGACAGGGGUGUGGGUGUGUGGGGGGUGUAAACCCCACAACUGUGAAACUCAGGUAAAAUUGAAGUAUAAUGUAAAUUUUGACAUUUGAGGCAAAAUUUGUGUAAAAAAGUUGUUAUAUUUGUGAAAUGAUGACCAUUUGACAUUUGACACCCCCCCCUCCCAAACUUCAGACGCUUCGCUACAUUCCUGAAAAUCAGUGCAAUCACCAUACAACACUGACCCUUGCAGUUGCGAGGGUAUAUAUAUGUGAAGAAGCAAACCCACAGGCCACAGUCAUAAUGUGAUGAGGUCAUAUCGACAAGUUUCAACUUUUCUUUUCAGCAUUUAAUAACAGCAGUGUCAAUUGAGUAGCAUGUUCAUACUUUUAUAGCUACAGUUAAAUGUUGUUUAAUCCAACGAGCUGCAAUGCGCCCAGUGCACCCUACUUAUUUCUUUUACUUGUCUAAUGCCAGACGAUUUUACUUUUAAACAAUUUGCAGAUAAAAACACAAUUCAAAAUCAUAGUGAUACAUGGCAUCUACAUGGCAUCUACAACUUCAAAAAACUAAGCGAACACAUAUUCUGGUCAAUUUGCUGAUAAUAUGGUGACUGGUAAUAAUAUUGGAUAAUAUAGGAAGAUCAGAAUAUUUGUGCAAGUAUCAGGGCAAUACAACUAUCAGACAAAAAUCUUAGUGGUAAUGACAUAAUUGAUUUGAUGAGUUCAUUAUAAAUUCCGAUGCUGUUAG